UACAGAGGGUGCGAGCGUUAAUCGGAAUUACUGGGCGUAAAGCGUGCGUAGACGGUUAUCUAAGUCUGAUGUGAAAGCCCCGGGCUCAACCUGGGAAUUGCAUUCGAGACUGAAUAGCUAGGGUACGGUAGAGGGAAGUGGAAUUUCCGGUGUAGCGGUGAAAUGCGUAGAUAUCGGAAGGAACAUCAGUGGCGAAAGCGACUUCCUGGACCAGUACCGACGUUCAGGCACGAAAGCGUGGGGAGCAAACAGG
rnacentral:rRNA from 1 species